rnacentral:rRNA from 1 species
UACGUAGGGCGCAAGCGUUGUCCGGAAUUAUUGGGCGUAAAGGGCUCGUAGGCGGCGUGUCGCGUCGGGAGUGAAAGCCCGUUGCUUAACGGCGGGUUGGCUUUCGGUACGGGCAUGCUGGAGUGCGGCAGGGAGACUGGAAUUCCUGGUGUAGCAGUGAAAUGCGUAGAUAUCAGGAGGAAUACCGAUGGCGAAGGCAGGUCUCUGGGCUAGAACUGACGCUCAUGCACGAAAGCGUGGGGAGCAAACAGG